AGAUGUGUGUAUAUUGUGGCCGAAUGACCAAAUGUGAAAGGUGUGUAUUAUUAGAUAUUUGAUGAGGCAAAUGAAUUACAAAUAUGACAGUCGAUGUGAAUGUUGUAACAUGUGAUUAAAUGUACAUGAAACUUGGAAAUAUAUUCCGGGUAAGACCCGAUGACUACGUGUGGAGAUUAUGUCCGGGUAAGACCCGAUGACUACGUGUGGAGAUUUUGUCCGGGUAAGACCCGAUAACUACGUGUGGGGACUAUUCGAGCUAAAUGUUUCGCUGAAGAUUCGAGUAAAGCAUAAGAUUAUACGACUUCACAGUAACAAUUGGUAAUAAAUACGUUCAAUGCGUUAAGUUGGUCAGGUAUGUAUUUUGAGAUUAUAUUUAAGCUUGAUUUGGACUAAAUCACAAGGUCAUUAUGUGAUGCAUAUGUGAGUAAAGCAAUAAGACUGUUCUAUGAUUAUUGUGCGUUUGGU
rnacentral:lncRNA from 1 species